rnacentral:rRNA from 2 species
AGAGUUUGAUCCUGGCUCAGAACGUACGCUGGCGGCACGCCUAACACAUGCAAGUCGAACGAAGUAGCAAUACUUAGUGGCAGACGGGUGAGUAACAUGUAGGUAUCUGCCCUUUGGCCUGGAAUAACACGAGGAAACUUGUGCUAAUACCGGAUAAGUCUUUACGGAGAAAGCUUUAUGCACCAUUGGAUGAGCCUGCACUUGAUUAGUUUGUUGGUGGGGUAAUGGCCUACCAAGACUGUGAUCAAUAGCUGAUUUGAGAGGAUGAUCAGCCACAUUGGGACUGAGACACGGCCCAAACUCCUACGGGAGGCAGCAGUGGGGAAUCUUGCACAAUGGAGGAAACUCUGAUGCAGCGAUGCCGCGUGAGUGAAGAAGGCCCUUGGGUUGUAAAGCUCUUUCGUCGGGGAAGAAAAUGACUGUACCCGAAUAAGAAGGUCCGGCUAACUUCGUGCCAGCAGCCGCGGUAAUACGAAGGGACCUAGCGUAGUUCGGAAUUACUGGGCUUAAAGAGUUCGUAGGUGGUUGAAAAAGUUAGUGGUGAAAUCCCAGAGCUUAACUCUGGAACUGCCAUUAAAACUUUUCAGCUAGAGUAUGAUAGAGGAAAGCAGAAUUUCUAGUGUAGAGGUGAAAUUCGUAGAUAUUAGAAAGAAUACCAAUUGCGAAGGCAGCUUUCUGGAUCAUUACUGACACUGAGGAACGAAAGCAUGGGUAGCGAAGAGGAUUAGAUACCCUCGUAGUCCAUGCCGUAAACGAUGUGUGUUAGACGUUGGAAAUUUAUUUUCAGUGUCGCAGGGAAACCGAUAAACACACCGCCUGGGGAGUACGACCGCAAGGUUAAAACUCAAAUGAAUUGACGGGGACCCGCACAAGUAGUGGAGCAUGUGGUUUAAUUCGAAGAUACGCGCAGAACCUUACCAACACUUGACAUGUUCGUCGCGACUCUAAGAGAUUAGAGUUUUCGGUUCGGCCGGACGAAACACAGGUGCUGCAUGGCUGUCGUCAGCUCGUGUCGUGAGAUGUUGGGUUAAGUCCCGCAACGAGCGCAACCCUCACUUUUAGUUGCCAUCAUUAAGUUGGGCACUCUGAAAGAACUGCCAGUGAUAAGCUGGAGGAAGGUGGGGAUGACGUCAAGUCCUCAUGGCCCUUACGUGUUGGGCUACACACGUGCUACAAUGGUAUCUACAACAGGAAGCAAGACUGCGAAGUUAAGCAAAUCCCUAAAAGAUACCUCAGUUCGGAUUGCACUCUGCAACUCGAGUGCAUGAAGCUGGAAUUACUAGUAAUCGUGGAUCAGCGUGCCACGGUGAAUGCGUUCCCGGGUCUUGUACACACCGCCCGUCACACCAUGGGAGUUGGUUCUACCUUAAGGCAAGGUUUAAAACCCUUGACCACGGUAUAGUCAGCGACUGGGGUGAAGUCGUAACAAGGUAACC